rnacentral:misc_RNA from 1 species
GAAAUGCGAUAAGUAAUGUGAAUUGCAGAAUUCAGUGAAUCAUCGAAUCUUUGAACGCAUCUUGCGCUCCUUGGUAUUCCUUGGAGCAUGCCUGUUUGAGUAUCAUGAAAUCUUCAAAGUAAAUCUUUUGUUAACUCAAUUGGUUUGUACUUUGGUAUUGGAGGUCUUUGCAGCUUCACACCUGCUCCUCUUUGUUCAUUAGCUGGAUCUCAGUGUUAUGCUUGGUUCCACUCGGCGUGAUAAGUUAUCUAUCGCUGAGGACACUGUAAAAGGUGGCCAAGGUAAAUGCAGAUGAACCGCUUCUAAUAGUCCAUUGACUUGGACAAUACUUUUAUGAUCUGAUCUCAAAUCAGGUAGGACUACCCGCUGAACUUAAGC